rnacentral:tRNA from 1 species
UGCGGGGUGGAGCAGUUGGCAGCUCGUCGGGCUCAUAACCCAAAGGUCACAGGUUCAAAUCCUGUCCCCGCAACCA